GGCGAAGCGCCCCUGACGAGACUGACGCUCAGUGCGAAAGCGUGGGGAGCAAACAGGAUUAGAUACCUGGUAGUCCACGCUGUAAACGAUGUCGAUUUGGAGGUUGUGCCCGUGAGGCGUGGCUUCCGGAGCUAACGCGUUAAAUCGACCGCUGGGGAGUACGGCCGCAAGGUUAAAACUCAAAUGAAUUGACGGGGGCCCGCACAAGCGGUGGAGCAUGUGGUUUAAUUCGAUGCAACGCGAAGAACCUUACCUACUCUUGACAUCCAGAGAACUUUCCAGAGAUGGAUUGGUGCCUUCGGGAACUCUGAGACAGGUGCUGCAUGGCUGUCGUCAGCUCGUGUUGUGAAAUGUUGGGUUAAGUCCCGCAACGAGCGCAACCCUUAUCCUUUGUUGCCAGCGGUUCGGCCGGGAACUCAAAGGAGACUGCCAGUGAUAAACUGGAGGAAGGUGGGGAUGACGUCAAGUCAUCAUGGCCCUUACGAGUAGGGCUACACACGUGCUACAAUGGCGUAUACAAAGAGAAGCGACCUCGCGAGAGCAAGCGGACCUCAUAAAGUACGUCGUAGUCCGGAUUGGAGUCUGCAACUCGACUCCAUGAAGUCGGAAUCGCUAGUAAUCGUAGAUCAGAAUGCUACGGUGAAUACGUUCCCGGGCCUUGUACACACCGCCCGUCACACCAUGGGAGUGGGUUGCAAAAGAAGUAGGUAGCUUAACCUUCGGGAGGGCGCUUACCACUUUGUGAUUCAUGACUGGGGUGAAGUCGUAACAAGGUAACCA
rnacentral:rRNA from 1 species